rnacentral:rRNA from 1 species
UACGUAGGUGGCAAGCGUUGUCCGGAUUUAUUGGGUUUAAAGGGCGCGUAGGCGGGCGGCCAAGUCCGGAGUGAAAUCCCCCAGCUCAACUGGGGAACAGCUUCGGAUACUGGUCGUCUCGAGUGGGGUAGGGGCGUGUGGAACGGUCGGUGGAGCGGUGAAAUGCGUUGAUAUCGACCGGAACUCCGGUGGCGAAAGCGACACGCUGGACCCUUACUGACGCUGAGGCGCGAAAGCCAGGGGAGCAAACGGG